rnacentral:rRNA from 1 species
AAGCCAUGCAUGUCUCAGUACAAGCCAAAUUAAGGUGAAACCGCGAAAGGCUCAUUAAAUCAGUUAUGGUUCCUUAGAUCGUACCCACAAUUACUUGGAUAACUGUGGUAAUUCUAGAGCUAAUACAUGCAAACAGAGCUCCGACCGGAGACGGAAGGAGUGCUUUUAUUAGAUCAAAACCAAUCGGUGGCGGGUUCGCU